rnacentral:rRNA from 1 species
UACGAAGGGGGCUAGCGUUGCUCGGAAUCACUGGGCGUAAAGCGCACGUAGGCGGGUUCCUAAGUCGGUGGUGAAAUCCUGGAGCUCAACUCCAGAACGGCCUUCGAUACUGGGAAUCUUCGAGUCCGGGAGAGGUGAGUGGAACUGCGAGUGUAGAGGUGAAAUUCGUAGAUAUUCGCAAGAACACCAGUGGCGAAGGCGGCUCACUGGCCCGGUACUGACGCUGAGGUGCGAAAGCGUGGGGAGCAAACAGG